GCCUCGAGGAACACCAGGGUUCCUCGGAAAACAGUUUGGGAAACACUGCACUAGAGCCAUACUUCUUAAUUAAAAAAGGGAAGUAUACUGUUAAUUGUUCAUUUUAAGGAAAUACAACAGUACAGUAUGUGUACCUACAUCUCGUAAUUUGUUGUUUCAAAAUGAAAGCGUCUUCGUUUCUGUUUUGCCUCGUGUUGCUGUCUUCUUUAAUCUUGCAAGAUAAGCAGCAAAUCAGGGCGAUUAAAAUCUACCGUUUUAUCAGUCAAAAUAGGCCUAUCCCAGUACCGUAGAUGAUCCGUAGACUCGAGAACCUCUUGUGGUGAGUAUUUAUAAUAUGGAGGAGUAUCCUUACCGAUCAAAUUGUGUGUCAAAGCCAAGUGCUGGUGUAUUAGCUUUGCAAUUUGGUUAUGGCGACCUAGGUAGGCAGAUUCCGAUAGGGCUGAACAUCCUGCCAUUAUGUGUUCAAUUGACUCACCCACAUUUCCACAUUUUCGGCAUUUGUCAACAAUUUGAGUUUUAGGAUAUGUUUCUCGUAAUUUUUUGUUCUAAUUACUCUGUCCUGUAUUGCUGUGACAAAGCCUUCAGUUUCAGGGUAAAGAUGACCUGCUUUUAGCCAUGCUAAGGAAGCAGCCUUGUCAAUGUUGUCCCCAUGUAAUGAAGCUGGGAAUUUUCCGUGGAGUGUUUUUUCUUCCCAUUGGCGAAUCUCAUGCCCGACGUCGUCCAAACCAACAUUAACAUCAACAUUGAUUAGGUUCAGAGGGGUUGCAUCAUAGUCAUAUUUGCGUAGGAAGGAAACUAGUUCACUGCUGGAGGCGAGCAGUUUUGAUCGUAUUUUGGAAACUUGCGUCUUACACAGUUUGAAGAUGUUCUGCAAUCCACGGCCUCCAUCCUUCCGGGGAAGGUAUAGCCUUGUGGUGGAGGACUUGGGGUGUAAACAUCGGAAUUUGGUUAAUAAUUUCCUCGUGAGUCUGUCAAUGUUAUGUAGGUCAGUGUCUGUCCAUUUGAUGACACCGAACGUGUAGAGGAGCACUGGGACGACCCAGCUAUUUAUUGCCGUGAUGAGGUUACUGCCAGACAGUUUUGUGCUGAGAAUUUUAUUUACUCUCUGCUUGUAUUUACCAAGAAAGUCCUCUUUUAAUUUUUUAUGGUUUAUCGUGGCAUUCUGGUUUAUUCCAAUCGCACAGGUUUAUUGUUGUUAUGUUGGAUCUAUUACAAAUUUAAUUAUAUGACUGAUCCAAAC